AUUGAACGCUGGCGGCAUGCCUUACACAUGCAAGUCGAACGGCAGCGGACCUUCGGGUGCCGGCGAGUGGCGAACGGGUGAGUAAUAUAUCGGGAACGUACCUUUUCAGUGGGGGAGUAACGUAGCGAAGUUACGCUAAUACCGCAUAUUCUGUGAGCAGGAAAGCAGGGGAGUCGCAAGACCUUGCGCUGAUUGAGCGGCCGAUAUCAGAUUAGCUAGUUGGUGAGGUAAAGGACUCACCAAGGCGGACGAUCUGUAGCGGGUCUGAGAGGAUGAUCCGCCACACUGGAACUGAGACACGGUCCA
rnacentral:rRNA from 1 species